GACAGAGCAAAAAAAACAAGGCAUCAGUAUUGUUGAGUAUUAGCUUGUACCUGGUUCGGAGGCUAACAGGUUUGCCGGAGAAGGCAGGGGUGAGCCACGGUGGCUGCCCGGCUGUGCACCGGCGCCGGAGUUUGGACCAAGACAAAGACAGGAGCUGUCCGCGGUGCUGAAUCGGCGGCGCCGUCGCCGGAGCAAGGGGGCUUCUGUAACCAGCCCUCUGCUCAUUUACUCCCCAUCCUUCUAGCUCCCCUUCGCUCUGUGACUCUUGCCUUCCCCUGAAUUUAUUUCCCUUUUGGGGGACUCACCUUAGAACCUGCGCCCUGUACACAGGUGUAUAUACAUAUAUCAAAGAACAAAACGAUUGAUUGAAAACGGUGUCUUCUCCUUUCUUCCCAAAUAAAUGAUGUUAGAAAGGUUUAUUUUAACUGUACCCUAAAACGGAGAGAAAUGGAUAUUUCUACUCCUAAAUAAAUGGAAAUUCAUGUUAAAAACAA
rnacentral:lncRNA from 10 species